GGGAGAGGCAGCUGGCCGCCAGAACCCACCUUCCUUUCCAGCCCCUGAAGACCUCCUGGGAGAGGCCACUCUCGGGGGCCAGGCUCAGGAGGGGAGGUGGCUCUCCUUCACCCCCAUUGCCCAGCACACCGUUCGUGGAGGGUUACUCAGAGGCCAGGAGAAGUUAGGCGAACACUGUGGGCUUAACACCAUGCCCCAUCUAGUCAGCACUUCACAGCCCACGAGAUGCCAUUCAGUCUGGUCACGGAACCACCCUGCUUUGUGGACCAGCAGUCACUUGGUGGUUAGGAAUGUGAAUCAUGAGUUAAGAUCCCGUGUGACCUCUGUGCCUCAGUUUCCCAACCUGUGAAGUGGGGGUAAGAGUAGCACUCACACAGGGUUAUUGUGCAGAUUAAGAAAAUAACCAUGCAAACACCUAGCAUAGCAGCUGGCAGAGAGCAAGCGCUCAAUGAAUGUUCCUAUUGGGUUUAUCUACGAGAACCUUAGAGGAGGGGCCGCGUGGCCCUGGUUCUGAAGCGCUUUCCUUGCCUCCUCCUUCCUGUUAUGUGCUUUCCUGCUGACAAUCCUGUGUCUCUCCUCGCCUUCCCUUUCAAACCAAAUGCUUGGCGGUGCUUUUCCUAGCCAUGCCUUUGGCAGUCCGGAGCAAUGGAAACACACUUGGCUCCCCGUUCCAGCUGGUCUCCUGGGCCACCUCAGAGAGAUGUCCCUUUUGGCCAUGGGACUAACUGCACUGUGGACAGUGCUCCUGCAAGCUUCUUGUGGGGCUUCCAGUGCCCCCAGAAUUUUCUGAACGCCUCUACGGGCCAGGCAGAUGAAGUAUGAAUGGCCCAUUUUACAGAUGAAGAAAUUGAGGCCCACAGACAUUAAGACACUUGCUCAGGGUUGUGCAGACACACAGUGACAGAACCCAAACUAGGUCUGCAUCUUUUGACUUCAAGCCUUGUAUCCUUUCCAUUCUGUGACACAAUUUUGUCUCUCUCUCAAGUAGAUGAUUCUUAGAUGGUCUAGAAAAUCUUAGCAGAUGUCAGUUGUAAGUGCAGUCUCCAUUUGUAAGUAUUUGCUGUGGUCCUGCUCUGUGCCAGGCGUUGUGCUUAGUUCUGGGCACACAAAGACGACCGAGAUGUGUUUCCUGCCUUCCUAACAGAGCUGCACAGAGCCGAGCAGCUGCCUGUUCCCGUCCACUCACCGUCCACCUCCCACAUCCCUGCACUCCCGCUGGCCCGGGCCCUGCCCAGAACCCAGCUUGCAGUGACAGUGAUAACCCACUGCUUGUGUGCCGACCACAUAUGUGCUUUAUUUACACGAUCUCAUUUGAUUCUCACACUAGCACUGAAAUAGAGAUUAUUAACCCAUUUUACAGAUGAAACUGAAGCCAAGUGAGGGGGAGGUUUUCCCAACUAGAAAGUGGUUGUCACCAGGUCUGACUACAAAUUCUGGCUCUUCCCAGUGUCCCUUACUGCCCCUCUGUGGGCCCUGGCAUCCCAGAACCUCUACCAGGGCUGGGGCUCAGCUCCGGAGGCACAAGUCAGACCACAGCUACACACUGCGCUGUGGGCCCACCUGCAGCCUCACGUCCUGUGCCAGGGGCACAUGCCCAAUUGGACAUGCUGGUACCAGCCUUGCCCCAAUGGUUCCUGGGCUUGCUGUGCCCACUGAGCAGUGUUCUGCAGAUGGUCUCUUGCCACAUCUACACCAUCCUCAGUGGCAAAGCCAGUGUCCCCUGCUCUCCAGGCAGUUUCCUCCUCUGCCGCUCCCCGUGUGGUGGCACAUGGCACCAGCAGCCCCAGCCUGACAUUUCCCCACUCAGCAACCACAGCAGAAGGAAGCCCCUCAUUCCCCAGAGUGCCAGCGAUGCCCCUACGUGACUGCUCAUUGCCCCUGAUUGGCCCAACCUGGGUACCAAGCCAGCCCGACCUAUUCGCUGUGCUCUCAUGGGUCAGAUCAGAGUCACAUGCCCACCCCUGGAAAAGGGAUUUGCAGCAUCUCAACCGCAUGGACUGAACGUGGAUAGGGGGCGGCUUCCCAGAGGAGAACGGAGGCCCUGUUACCUGAAGCAGAGGGAAAGGAUGCCCGGCAGGCAAAACCUGCAGGCGCGCUCCACAAAUGAGAGCAUGUCUUCCUGAGACUAGGGAAUGAGACAGAUUUCAAUUGGCGUUGGCAUUCAUUUAAUGUUCACUCCAUGCUACCGAAAUGCAGAGAUAGUUAAGGCACAGAUCCUCGCAAGGCAGAAUGAAGGGUAAGGUGAAAUAGGAAAUGAGCGGUUGUACCUGGAAUGACUCAUUUUUACUGAGUGAGGGUUGCAAUUUUGGCGGUCUUCAUGGAGGAGGUGGCAUUUGAAUUGGACCUGAGUGCGUUUGAGGCCUUGAAGAGUGGCCUCGGCUGCUCAUGACUCCUCCCAACAAAGAAUUUUUGUCCGGCUUCAAGAAGAUGUCCUUGAACGGGAAUAAGCAGUUCCCUCAGCACGUCCUCCCUCCCGUCCCUUGAAAGCGUGAUUUGCCCCAGAUUGCUCUUGCUCAAGCUUCCUAAUCUUUAUUCUGUUUCUAAAUGGGGCAGUCUACUGGGAGCCCCAGACCCCUUCCAAGCGCUCCAUCUGUAUUUAAUCAAUCCCUUCUCUGAAAUCCAAUCUGUCAUAAAUUCCGGCCUCACGAUAAAUGCGCCCUGAGGUCUGCAGGGAGGGGCGUUCAUAGUGAAUGAGAACCAGAAUCGCUGCCCAAACUGUUGAAUUGAGCACAGUGGGAAUCGGGGGGAGGCACCUGCAAGAGGGGCGGACAGCGGAGCCAAGGCAGCCGCUGUGCGGGGGGGCGGCGGGACCCCACACGCCCUGGGCCUGAGCCUGCGCCCUCGGGGCAAGCCAGGCAUUGUCCUCGGCCUGGCUUCCUCGCCUUCAUUAGCUCUUGGUAAUGGAUUUUAUAUCUGCUCAGUGUGACGGAGGAGUCUUGGCAAUCCUGGAAGACCUGCAGGAUCUCCUCCCAGCCCUCCAGUGUGAAGCCAGCAGCUUCGUCAGCCACGUAGGUGGCUCUCCAGCCAACGUUUACUUUAGUGUCAAAAAGAAAUCCCAGCUUUAGACGUGAACAAGCCCCAGAUUCCCCACACUGACGUCGGGGCCUGCUUCCCGUCUGCACAGAGGGAUGGACUGAAAUAGGAGUUCCUGCUAUUUUAAAGGGUCAAGAUCCCUUUAAAAAUCUGGAAAAAGCUGUGGACUCUUUCCCCAGAAAACACACACACACGUACACACAUAUAUACACACAUGUAUACACGUACACACGUACACAUGUACACUUGCUGUUUCACGUCCAGUUUCAGGGGCUCACAACCCCUAGUUCCAGGGGGUCCUGGACGCCAAAAUAAGGCACUCUGCCCUGAGUGACCCUGGGCCGGCCCCUCCCCUGCAGCACCCCUGAGGUUGUCUAUGGACAGAGCAGUGUCCCCACCACCUGGCAUUUCCAGUCUCUUACUCCAAGGUGGACAAAGGAGGAGUUCUCACCCUUUUCUGCAGAUGAGAACCGAAGCCCAGGGCAGGGCCGAUCUCACAGGAAGUCCGGAGUGAGUCUGGCUCUGGACCCAGGCUCUUCUCCUCCCCAGCCUGGAGCCCGUUCCCUCCAUCCCUGCUUCCUCCUAGCUUUUUAGGUCAUGCUCCCUUUUGACAAGUGAAAAAACCUCAUUUCCCCCACCUCCGAAAUAUCGAAUAACACACUGUGGGGAGGGGAGCGGGAGUCUGUCUCCCCACUUGGGGUCACUGUAUCAUAGGCCGACAAGGCUUUUGUUAAGUUUUACUUUCUCUGGCUUGAAAUAUAAUUUGAACUCUGAAAAUCAUAGUUGUUCUUAUGUCCCAAAUAUGAAAUAUCAUAAUGUUGAAACGUUUGAAACCAUACAGCCUGCAGCAGCCCCACCUAAAAAGCACUGUGGGAGGGCUGACAGCCUCUUCAUAUAUUGGCGUGGUCCACCUAGCCCCUUCCGGAAGUUUCCUGCAGAGGAUGCACAAGGACCCUCAGGCACGGAGUGCCAAGCACAGAUGACUCUAGGGAGUGCCUCGCUCACACACCCCUAAACAGCAGACUUUCCUGGAGGUUUCUGGAAACUUUACCUUUGGCAAGGCUUCAGGAGUGAGCCUGGGGGGUUCUGGGACACGUGAGAUGACACAGCCCGCAAUGUCUAAGUAAUUUGGAAUUCACGAUGCAGGCCUCCUGGCGAUCCUCCAGCCCUCAGAAGUACAGGACACUCCCAGUGCCCUUGGAAGACAGUCGUGUGGAUGCAGGAGCCCACCUCCUGCGGUACGAUUCUCAGAGGCCCUUGCCCACCCCUGGGAGCCGGGGCGUGUCACAUGUUCCAUGCUUGGCCAGACAGGCCUGGCUUGAAUGGAUGGUGUGAAGAUAAGGUUCCUUUAGAGCCCAUUCCCGUGGUGGAGAGAGUGGCCAUCAGGCCAGAGUCGUUCCAGGACAAGCUGGCGUCCGUGCUUUAUGGUUCUUGGCCUUCUCGAGCUGCCUCAGUGCCUGUCUGCUCUCCAAUCCUGUCCUUGCAGCCUCCUUUGAAUCUCUGGGGUCCUGGUAGCCUGCCAAUAAAUUCCCUUUGUGUUUAAGAGAA
ensembl:lncRNA